rnacentral:lncRNA from 1 species
GGGGAUUUCUCCCAAAAUUAGGGUUUUCAUAUUUAAACCAAAUUUUCAUUCAAUUAGAUUCGGUUAAGGUCACAUUAGUCUAAUUAGAGCUAAUUUAAUCCUCGUGGGAACGAUACUUGGACUCAUAGUCCACUUUACUACUUGUUAACGAACCGUACACUUGCGGUGGGUUUUAAAAUAUAGAAGAAAUAAUUUUGCGAACAAGUUUUUGGCGCCGUUGCCGG